rnacentral:piRNA from 1 species
UGUUACCAAUACGAGGAGUCAGUCCGAA